GUCCACAGGCGCCUUAGUGGGUACACCUCGAUGGCACAAGAAGUUCAUGGGCCGGAGUUUGAUGCGAUCAAUGAGCCCAUUGAUGGAGAAGUCGUCAUGAGGGCGGGAGGAGGCAAGAAGCAUGGACGGUACUGGUUUGGCGACAGCUUAGUCGACACGGCGACUACUCCCACUCUCUCGCAGAUUCGAGCCAGGAGUACCAGCUCAAGCCCUGCCAUACGCCCACGGCCAGACACUACAUAGAUUCAGAUUGAGGCUGUCAAGGCCCAGAUGGAAGCAGCCUUCCAAGCACGGCAGGAGGCGGCAGAGGAGAGGUGGAGGGCCGAGCAGGACGACAUCCAGCAAAAAUUGGAUCAAGCUUUAACAUUUAUGCAAAGCCUGGGCUCGGCGAUGGGUGUUUCGCCUUCACAAUUCCCUCCGGCCCCACUUGUUCGUCGUGCAGAAACUCCUCCUACCAAUCAGUCGGCGGCAUCCAAUGAUGGGCCAGUGAAUCCUGACUUCUCGCCUCAGGUGCAGCAGCCUCAGCAGUUUGUGUGGCCACCGCCUCAAUGGGUGGCUUGGAUUCAGCAG